GUUCGUCAACAGAGAUCACCUAUCGUCCUGCGUGUCAAUAUUAUAUUGGUCAAUUGACCAAAAUUAAAUUCAUAUUAACGACUACUCAUUUUAUAUGAUACUCCUAUAUCGAGAACAAAUAUACAUUGAAAAUGGUCAUUACUUCUACCUGACAAUAGAGAACAAAUCUAUAUUGAACAUCAUUUCAUGUCAAAGACCAAUCCACCAUUCCAGUCAAAAAAAUGACACAAAAUUUAAUACUAAUAGGUUUUACAUAUCUCAUUAACGUACAA
rnacentral:lncRNA from 1 species